rnacentral:rRNA from 1 species
UACGUAGGGCGCAAGCGUUGUCCGGAAUUAUUGGGCGUAAAGAGCUCGUAGGCGGUUUGUCACGUCGGAUGUGAAAGCCCGGGGCUUAACCCCGGGUCUGCAUUCGAUACGGGCAGACUGGAGUGUGGUAGGGGAGAUCGGAAUUCCUGGUGUAGCGGUGAAAUGCGCAGAUAUCAGGAGGAACACCAAUGGCGAAGGCAGCUCGCUGGAACGGUACUGACGCUGAGGCGCGAAAGCGUGGGGAGCGAACAGG